AUUGAACGCUGGCGGCAUGCCUUACACAUGCAAGUCGAACGGCAGCACGGGUGCUUGCACCUGGUGGCGAGUGGCGAACGGGUGAGUAGUACAUCGGAACGUACCUUAUCGUGGGGGAUAACGCAGCGAAAGCUGUGCUAAUACCGCAUACGCCCUGAGGGGGAAAGCGGGGGAUCGCAAGACCUCGCGCGAUUAGAGCGGCCGAUGGCUGAUUAGCUUGUUGGUGGGGUAAAAGCCCACCAAGGCGACGAUCAGUAGCUGGUCUGAGAGGACGGUCGGCGGCACUGGGACUGAGACACGGCCCAGACUCCUACGGGGGGCAGCAGUGGGGAAUUUUGGACAAGGGGCGCAACCCUGAUCCAGCAAUGCCGCGUGAGUGAAGAAGGCCUUCGGGUUGUAAAGCUCUUUUGUCAGGGAAGAAACACCGGCUCUAACACAGUCUGGGAAUGACGGUACCUGAAGAAUAAGCACCGGCUAACUACGUGCCAGCCGCCGCGGUAA
rnacentral:rRNA from 1 species